rnacentral:rRNA from 1 species
GAUGAACGCUGGCGGCGUGCCUAAUACAUGCAAGUCGAGCGGCAGCACGGUCUUCGGACUGGUGGCGAGCGGCGGACGGCUGAGUAACGCGUAGGAACGUACCCCAAAGUGAGGGAUAAGCACCAGAAAUGGUGUCUAAUACCGCAUGUGGUCUAAGGAUUAAAGCUUCGGCGCUUUGGGAACGGCCUGCGUAAGAUUAGCUAGUUGGUGAGGUAAUGGCUCACCAAGGCGACGAUCUUUAGCUGGUCUGAGAGGAUGAUCAGCCAGACUGGGACUGAGACACGGCCCAGACUCCUACGGGAGGCAGCAGUAGGGAAUUUUCCACAAUGGGCGAAAGCCUGAUGGAGCAACGCCGCGUGCAGGAUGAAGGCCUUAGGGAUGUAAACUGCUUUUAUAUGUGACGAAUAUGACGGUAGCAUAUGAAUAAGGAUCGGCUAACUCCGUGCCAGCCGCCGCAGUAA